UACGUAGGGGGCGAGCGUUGUCCGGAAUCACUGGGCGUAAAGGGCGCGUAGGCGGUUUAAUAAGUCAGUGGUGAAAACUGAGGGCUCAACCCUCAGCCUGCCACUGAUACUGUUAGACUUGAGUAUGGAAGAGGAGAAUGGAAUUCCUAGUGUAGCGGUGAAAUGCGUAGAUAUUAGGAGGAACACCAGUGGCGAAGGCGAUUCUCUGGGCCAAGACUGACGCUGAGGCGCGAAAGCGUG
rnacentral:rRNA from 1 species